rnacentral:rRNA from 1 species
CCUACGGGGGGCUGUAGUGAGGAAUAUUGGUCAAUGGACGAGAGUCUGAACCAGCCAAGUAGCGUGAAGGAUGACUGCCCUAUGGGUUGUAAACUUCUUUUAUAUGGGAAUAAAAUGUUCCACGUGUGGGAUUUUGUAUGUACCAUAUGAAUAAGGAUCGGCUAACUCCGUGCCAGCAGCCGCGGUAAUACGGAGGAUCCGAGCGUUAUCCGGAUUUAUUGGGUUUAAAGGGUGCGUAGGCGGUCCGUUAAGUCAGCGGUAAAAUUGCGGGGCUCAACCCCGUCGAGCCGUUGAAACUGGCAGACUUGAGUUGGCGAGAAGUACGCGGAAUGCGCGGUGUAGCGGUGAAAUGCAUAGAUAUCUGGAGGAACAUCAGUGGCGAAGGCGACUAUCUGGCACAUAACUGACGCUGAGGAGCGAAAGCGUGGGUAGCAAACAGGAUUAGAUACCCCAGUAGUC